AACGAACGCUGGCGGCAUGCCUAACACAUGCAAGUCGAACGAGACCUUCGGGUCUAGUGGCGCACGGGUGCGUAACGCGUGGUAACCUGCCCUUAGGUUCGGAAUAACUCCCCGAAAGGGGUGCUAAUACCGGAUAAUGUCUUCGGACCAAAGAUUUAUCGCCUUGGGAUGGGCCCGCGUUGGAUUAGCUAGUUGGUAGGGUAAAAGCCUACCAAGGCGACGAUCCAUAGCUGGUCUGAGAGGAUGAUCAGCCACACUGGGACUGAGACACGGCCCAGACUCCUACGGGAGGCAGCAGUGGGGAAUAUUGGACAAUGGGCGAAAGCCUGAUCCAGCAAUGCCGCGUGAGUGAUGAAGGCCUUAGGGUUGUAAAGCUCUUUUACCCGGGAUGAUAAUGACAGUACCGGGAGAAUAAGCUCCGGCUAACUCCGUG
rnacentral:rRNA from 1 species